rnacentral:rRNA from 1 species
GAUGAACGCUGGCGGCGUGCCUAAUACAUGCAAGUCGAGCGAACAGACGAGGAGCUUGCUCCUCUGACGUUAGCGGCGGACGGGUGAGUAACACGUGGAUAACCUACCUAUAAGACUGGGAUAACUUCGGGAAACCGGAGCUAAUACCGGAUAAUAUAUUGAACCGCAUGGUUCAAUAGUGAAAGACGGUUUUGCUGUCACUUAUAGAUGGAUCCGCGCCGCAUUAGCUAGUUGGUAAGGUAACGGCUUACCAAGGCGACGAUGCGUAGCCGACCUGAGAGGGUGAUCGGCCACACUGGAACUGAGACACGGUCCAGACUCCUACGGGAGGCAGCAGUAGGGAAUCUUCCGCAAUGGGCGAAAGCCUGACGGAGCAAUGCCGCGUGAGUGAUGAAGGUCUUCGGAUCGUAAAACUCUGUUAUUAGGGAAGAACAAAUGUGUAAGUAACUAUGGACGUCUUGACGGUACCCAAAGAGAAAGCCACGGCUAACUUCGUG